rnacentral:rRNA from 1 species
AGAGUUUGAUCAUGGCUCAGAAUCAACGCUGGCGGCGCGCUUAACACAUGCAAGUCGAACGAGAAAGGGAGCAAUCCUGAGUAAAGUGGCGCACUGGUGAGUAACACGUGGGUAAUCUACCCUUUGGUGGGGAAUAACCCUGGGAAACCGGGGCUAAUACCGCAUAAGCCUGGAAAGGGAAAGGCGAAAGUCGCCGAAGGAGGAGCCCGCGGCUGAUUAGCUAGUUGGUAGGGUAAAGGCCUACCAAGGCUUCGAUCGGUAGCCGGCCUGAGAGGGCACACGGCCACACUGGCACUGAAACACGGGCCAGACUCCUACGGGAGGCAGCAGUGGGGAAUCUUGCACAAUGGGGGAAACCCUGAUGCAGCGACGCCGCGUGAGCGAUGAAGCCCUUCGGGGUGUAAAGCUCUUUCGACCGGAACGAUAAUGACGGUACCGGGAGAAGAAGCUGCGGCUAACUACGUGCCAGCAGCCGCGGUAAUACGUAGGCAGCGAGCGUUGUUCGGAGUUACUGGGCGUAAAGCGUGCGUAGGCGGUUUUCUAAGUCUGGUGUGAAAUCUCCCGGCUUAACCGGGAGGGUGCGCCGGAUACUGGAAAGCUUGGAGUGCGGGAGAGGUAAGCGGAAUUCCUGGUGUAGCGGUGAAAUGCGUAGAUAUCAGGAGGAACACCGGUGGUGUAGACGGCUUACUGGACCGUAACUGACGCUGAGGCACGAAAGCGUGGGGAGCAAACAGGAUUAGAUACCCUAGUAGUCC